AAAAUCCGUCGACUUUUAAAAUCGUGAGGGUUCAAGUCCCUCUAUCCCCAAA
rnacentral:tRNA from 1 species